UGUGUGUGUGUGUGUGUGUGUGUGUGUGUGUGUGUGUGUGUGUGUCAGUGUGAGUGUGUGAGUGUGUCAGUGUGUGUCUGUGAGUGUGUGUGUCAGUGAAUGUGUGAGUAUGUGUCAGUGUGUGUCAGUGUGUGUCUGUGAGUGUGUGAGUAUGUGUCUGUGAGUCUGUGAGUGUGUGUCAGUGUGUGUCUGUGAGUGUGUGUGUCAGUGAGUGUGUGAGUCUGUGAGUAUGUG